CACACAGCUUAGCAGGCGGCAUCCUCGCCUCCAUCUCCACGCACCUCAGUGCUCACAGGGAGAAGGCGACAGGUCAGCCUGAAGAAGCAGGUGCCAACACCACAUGUCUUUCCUCUUCUCACCCUCACGGAUUGGACUGCCUUUCUUCCUUAUAUCUCACCCUCAGUGUACCCUCUAUGCUGAUGACAGACCCAUCUUCCCAAGAGCAGAUGAGUCUCUGCCUGCGGGGGCCCUCUGGUGGCUUCCUGACAGCAGGGGCUAAAACUGCAAGAGUGGCAAAGGCACAGCCAUGCCCGGCAUAAUGUCUGGUACCACGUGUCAGGCACAGACAACUCAUGAAACAUGCCUUAGAGUACUUGUUACUUAAUUGGGUGGCAAAUUACUCUGCUGCCACCAUACCCCUGUGAAAAUCUGCCAUGGCCAGGUCAGCUUCCUGCCCAGAAGUCCUUCGUAGCUGCCUUUGCCUGCAUGACCAGAACGCUGCUCAUUCUCCAGUUCACCCCCUGGACUUCUGGAACACCUCCUGUUCCCUACUCUUCAUCUGGCCCCAACCAGAUGAGUUGGUGAGGUAUGUUUCCUACUUCCUCAGUGAGGCUUUGAGCUCCCUGGGGGCAGGCAGAGCUGGUGUGUGCCAGCUCUGUGUCCCCUCCAAUAUUUCAGCACCUAACUUAGAGUCUUGCACAUAGCCAGUGCCCUGUGUGGGUUUACAGUCCAGAUUUUCCCACAUUAAAUAAAAGUUGGAGACCAGCGAGAUGCAUGCAAGCAGCGAUCACUCACCAAGUGUCAGUGAGGUUGAGGAGGGACAGUAAUGUCCAGAACAUGACUGGGGAAGCUGUUAGCCCCACCAGCCCUGACCAGUCAGGUCUCACCACAUUUGGAGCAGGCUAUGAAUUAGUCUUUUCCUUUUCUUUUUCUUCCAGUUCAUGGCACCUUCACUUGCACCUGGCUAACUACAGCUACUUCCGCCAGCCGGUGGGCUGCACUUGGCAAGAUGGUAUGGCUUUGAGUGGGCGUGCACUGGCUGGGUCAGCACAGGCUCAGAAGGCCUCAGUUUGAACCUCAGCUCUGCCAGUUACUUGCUGUGCGACCAUGGGUCACCUACUUACAUUUUAUGGUCUCAGUGUUCUCAUCUAUAAAGUGGGUAUGAUAAAACCUACUUUGUAAAAGGAAAUAAUUGAAGGAAGAUUAGAUUAGGUAAUGUAUGAAAAUGUUUAGCCCUGGGCCUGGCACACACUGAGUGCUGGCUUAAGUGGUAGAUAUUUCAUUAUUUUUAGCUGUUCUUUGUUUCAACUGGAAGCAGAACAAAAGGUUCUGCUUGCAGCAACAACAACAACAACAAAUCUAUCAGGCUUGACAAGUUACCAGGUAGUAAUUUGGAUGUUGAACAUGGAUGUUGAAUGAUGGGCUAUAGUCUGGUCCAAGGACUGGCAGCAUUAGCAUCGCCUAGGGCUUGUUGAAAACGCAGAAUCUCAUGACCCACCCCAGCACACUGAUUAAGAAUGUGCUUUCAGUAAACAAAAUCCCAGGUGAUCCUUGUACUCUUUAGAUUCUAUGACGGCAGCCUGGGGCACAUUUGGAGAGUCCUUAUGUUAUCACUCGCAGUAGUAGCUCCCUCUCUCCUAUGCUAACAGGCGUCUUCCUGCAGACAGGUGGGCACUGUGGGAGCAGGGAGCUCAGAGGAACAGUGAGGACUGGGGCUGAAGCCAGGACAUAGCUGUGCUCUGCAGCAGGACACAGGCCUGACUGCACUUCCCCAUUCUAACCAGCAGAUGGCAAGCGUGCGCUAGUAGUGUUUCUUCUCAUAGGCCUUUGACUUGCUAAACACGGUCCUCUUUAUAUUACAAAGGAGCCAGAGCAGAUCGCCUUCCUGCAUGUCUACUGCCUUGGUGCCAUGCUGUUCAACUGGUGGGCUGUUGUCAAAUACAUGCUAGGUGGUCGAAGGUCAGUUUGUGACCAUUGCUGCUCACUCCUCUUACAAUCUCUUCAUUGAGUGCUCCUUCCCUGAUGGGUUCCGAAUGGCCAUCCUCCUUUACACACUCAGCCUCAUCGCCUUUGUUUUCAACGUCUACCACCAGACACACCUGAGGAGGAGCUGACUUAAAGGACAGGACCUGAGGGCUGAAACUAGCAAAACUGUCCCCCCAAAGACAGCAUAGCUCACAGCUCACCUGUGCUGAGCAGGCACCAUGGAGCCUGCACUGCAUCUGGGAAGGAAGGAGAGUUUCCUCCCUUCCAGAGUUCAGGAGGACAAAAACAGGGCCAGCUCCCUGCACUCACUUCUGUAAUGGUAGUUUUUCCAUGGAUUUGUGACUUGAUACAGCUUCUGCUACCAGAUGUGAGCCUUUCACACAGGGACUGUCUUAUUCUCAGAAUUCCUCACACUUGGUACAGCACUGCCUUAAAUGUGCAUUUGGAUCCUUGUAUUCCACAACCAUUGGCCAUGACCUCUAGUGAAGGUCAGGGCUGAGGGCAUGGAAGAAGUCAAGGAUGGCCGGAUACCUAGCCUUGCAGUGGAAACGAUGACUCAGAAUAUCCACGAGUGAGCGUGGGUCUGUUUGAUUUCUAGCAUGGCUGUGUGAAUGGCUCCCCCCCCCCAUCUUCCUGUCUGUCCACAACUUUGAGUGUGAGUGGGGUAGUGGGGAGGGCGAUGCACAUAGAUCUGACGACUUAUUUUCUAAUACCCCUGCAUGUUUCCAUUUGAGUUUCUCUCUGUGUGUUUUUCUGCCUCUUCUGUAGGUCCCUGACAGUACCACACUGGCAAAUAAAAAUCCACCAUUAAUACCUCUCCUGUCCCAAAUGGGAGAUGUAGGAGUCCACUGGGGAAUCUCUGGGUACAUGUUCCAGUGGGAGCCUCCAAAGGGGGAUGUGAGAGAGGAGGCAUCCACUUCACAGGGAGGGAAACUGAGGACCAGCAUCGGGGAAUACACGGCCGGGCUCACAUAGUACGGGGAAGCAAACAUCUGCUGAGCCAUUUAAAGCCAGACCUGGGUGUGACUCUGAAAAGCAGUUGCCUUGGAGCUCUCUCCAAGCUGGCCGUGUUCUUAUUUGUCUUUAUAAUCUCUCCCCUUAGCUCGCUUCCCCCACUCAGCGAGUUCUCAUUUUGCAAUGCCUAAAUAGUCAAGAACAUUAAAGAACUGUUGAAGUUUAUGAAGUGCUAUUUGGGGACUAUUUAUCCAUCAGGUACUCGAGUUAAUCAACUCAAGGCAGGCAGGGCUGCAUCCUGUGGACAGAGCCCUCAGAGAAGUCAUGCAGGAAAUGAACACAUCCCACACAUGUUUCCAUAUACAGGUUGAGUGCCUUCUGAGGUGGGGGCCUAUUUUAAGACAAGCUUUGCUUUUUAACACAUAGGAGUAAAGUCUGUUCAUUUAGCAGCCAGGAUAAAGGAAAAAGUAGUCAUUCGAGGCAGAGUUCAGAGCUAAUAUCUGUCUAGUUCUUUGUGGCUGCCUCUUUCUGAUUCGGUAGCACAAGAGGAUGUGAGUGGCCCCAGGUCACAUCAGAAUGAAAUAAGAUUUUGGCUGGGGAGAGCCUGGUGUGAGGCAGUGUGGUAGAGAGGGUUGGGGGAAAUUCUCGAUGAGCUGAAGGUGUUCUUCCUUUUUAUUUAUUGAUUUGUUUGUUUGUUUAUGUAUUUAUUUAUAUUCUUGUUUAUUCUAUUACAAUUGUCCCA